AACGAACGCUGGCGGCAGGCCUAACACAUGCAAGUCGAGCGGACCCUUCGGGGUUAGCGGCGGACGGGUUAGUAACGCGUGGGAACGUGCCCAAAGGUACGGAAUAGCCUCGGGAAACUGAGAGUAAUACCGUAUGUGCCCCUCGGGGGAAAGAUUUAUCGCCUUUGGAUCGGCCCGCGUUGGAUUAGGUAGUUGGUGGGGUAAUGGCCUACCAAGCCGACGAUCCAUAGCUGGUUUGAGAGGAUGAUCAGCAACACUGGGACUGAGACACGGCCCAGACUCCUACGGGAGGCAGCAGUGGGGAAUCUUAGACAAUGGGGGAAACCCUGAUCUAGCCAUGCCGCGUGGACGAUGAAGGCCUUAGGGUUGUAAAGUCCUUUCAGCUGGGAAGAUAAUGACGGUACCAGCAGAAGAAGCCCCGGCUAACUCCGUG
rnacentral:rRNA from 1 species